rnacentral:tRNA from 1 species
GGAGAGGUGGCCGAGUGGUCGAAGGCGCUCCCCUGCUAAGGGAGUAUACGGCAAAACCGUAUCGGGGGUUCGAAUCCCCUCCUCUCCGCCA